AACAUAUGGUGUGGGCAUUAUCUGAGCAUAUUAUUGUAUCUAUCUCAUGCUUCAAAUAAAAAUUCUGAAUCGAAUUGUUUAAAACUUGCAAUAAGAUUUCUUAUAUG